AGAGUUUGAUCCUGGCUCAGAGCGAACGCUGGCGGCGUGGUUGAGGCAUGCAAGUCGAGCGAGGUGUGCUUUCAUAGGCAUCUAGCGGCAAACGGGUGAGUAACACGUGGGCAACCUGCCCAUGAGAGGGGGAUAACAUUCCGAAAGGAAUGCUAAUACCGCAUAUGCUCACGACCUCGCAGGAGGUAGUGAGAAAAGUCGGGGACCGCAAGGCCUGACACUCAUGGAUGGACCCGCGCUCUAUCAGCUUGUUGGUGAGGUAAUGGCUCACCAAGGCUAAGACGGGUAGCUGGCCUGAGAGGGUGGUCAGCCACACUGGGACUGAGACACUGCCCAGACUCCUACGGGAGGCUGCAGUCGAGGAUAUUUUUCAAUGGGGGAAACCCUGAAAAUGCGACGCCGCGUGCAGGAUGAAGGACUUCGGUUCGUAAACUGCUGUCAGGAGGGACGAAUGUCUGCCGUGAUAAUACCAUGGCAGGUUGACGGUACCUCCAGAGGAAGCCACGGCCAACUCCGUGCCAGCAGCCGCGGUAAGACGGAGGUGGCGAGCGUUGCUCGGAUUCAUUGGGUGUAAAGGGUCGGUAGGCGGUUUGGUAAGUGCUUGGUGAAAUUCUACGGCUUAACCGUGGGACGCCCAGGUAGACUGCCA
rnacentral:rRNA from 1 species